rnacentral:rRNA from 1 species
UACAGAGGUCUCAAGCGUUGUUCGGAUUCAUUGGGCGUAAAGGGUGCGUAGGCGGCGGAGCAAGUCAGGUGUGAAAUCCCGGGGCUCAACCCCGGAACUGCACUUGAUACUGCUUUGCUAGAGUACUGGAGAGGAGAUUGGAAUUUACGGUGUAGCAGUGAAAUGCGUAGAUAUCAUUUGGAACGCCAAUGGUGAAAACAGGUAACUGGGAGUGUGCUGACGCUGAGACACGAAAGCCAGGGGAGCGAACGGG